UAGGGAAUAUUGGUUAAUGUGCGAAAGCGCGAACCAGCAACGCCGCGUGUGCGAUGAAGGCCUUCGGGUCGUAAAGCACUUUUUGCAGGGACGAGGAAGGACGGUACCUGCAGAAUAAGUCUCGGCUAACUACGUGCCAGCAGCCGCGGUAAAACGUAGGAGACGAGCGUUAUCCGGAUUUACUGGGCGUAAAGCGCGUGCAGGCGGCAUGGCAAGUUGGAUGUGAAAGCUCCCGGCUUAACUGGGAGAGGUCGUUCAAUACUGCCAGGCUUGAGAGUGGUAGAGGGAAGCGGAAUUCCGGGUGUGGUGGUGAAAUGCGUAGAUAUCCGGAGGAACACCAGUGGCGAAAGCGGCUUCCUGGCCCAUUUCUGACGCUCAGACGCGAAAGCUAGGGUAGCAAACG
rnacentral:rRNA from 1 species